rnacentral:rRNA from 1 species
GAAAGUAGGAAAGGGCGCAUGGCGGAUGCCUUGGCUCUCGGAGGCGAUGAAGGACGUGAUAAGCUGCGAUAAGUCACGGGGAGGUGCAAAUAACCUUUGAUCCGUGAAUCUCCGAAUGGGACAACCCGAUAUCCUGAAGGGAUAUCACCUUACAUAGUAAGGAGCUAACGCAGGGAACUGAAACAUCUUAGUACCUGCAGGAAAAGAAAAUAACAAUGAUUCCCCCAGUAGUGGCGAGCGAACGGGGAAUAGCCCAAACCAUUCAUGUUACGGCAUGGAUGGGGUUGUAGGACCACGGCGUUGCAAGAACUCUUGUGAGAAGAACAGCCUGGAAAGACUGACCAGAGACGGUGACAGUCCGGUAUUCGAAGCAAGACGAAGCAUAGUGGUAUCCUGAGUAGCGCGGAACACGAGGAAUUCUGCGUGAAUCUGCCGGGACCAUCCGGUAAGGCUAAAUACUCCCGAGAGACCGAUAGUGGACCAGUACCGUGAGGGAAAGGUGAAAAGCACUUCGAACAGAAGAGUGAAAGAGUACCUGAAACCGUGCGCCUACAAGCGGUCGGAGCACGAAAGUGUGACGGCGUGCCUUUUGCAUAAUGAACCUACGAGUUACCGUAUCUGGCAAGGUUAAGGGUCACGAGACCUGCAGCCGAAGCGAAAGCGAGUCUGAAGAGGGCGUCGAGUCAGUUGCGGUAGACGCGAAACCAAGUGAUCUACCCUUGGCCAGGAUGAAGUCUGGGUAACACCAGAUGGAGGUCCGCACCAAUAAGCGUUGAAAAGCUUCUGGAUGAGCUGAGGGUAGGGGUGAAAGGCUAAUCAAACUUGGAGAUAGCUCGUACUCCCCGAAAUGCAUUUAGGUGCAGCCUCGCGGGUUACUGAUGUGAGGUAGAGCGACUGAUUGGAUGCGAGGGCUUCACCGCCUAUCAAGUCCUGACAAACUCCGAAUGCGCAUCAGUUUUACCGCGGGAGUGAGGGCAUGGGUGCUAAGGUCCGUGCCCGAGAGGAGAAGAAUCCGGACUAUCAGCUAAGGCCCCGAAAUGACAGCUAAGUUAAACUAACGAAGUCUGAUUGCUAAGACAGCUAGGAUGUUGGCUUGGAAGCAGCCAUUCAUUUAAAGAGUGCGUAACAGCUCACUAGUCGAGGAAUCGGGCGUGGAUAAUAAUCGGGUAUUAAGUUGUCUGCCGAAGCUAUAGAAUCAGCAAUGAUUGGUAGGGGAGCAUUCCAUUCGGCGUUGAAGGCGUGGCGUGAGCCAUUCUGGAGCGUAUGGAAAAGCAAAUGUAGGUAUAAGUAACGAUAAAGGGGGUGAGAAACCCCCUCGCCGAAAGACUAAGGUUUCCUGAUCAACGCUAAUCGGAUCAGGGUAAGUCGGGUCCUAAGGUUCAGCCGAACGGCGAGACCGAUGGCAGAAACGGUUAAUAUUCCGUUACUACCUUUGAGGGUGACGUGGGGACGCAGGAGUGACACCGCCGCCGGCUGACGGAAUAGCCGGUUAAAGAGUGUAGACGUUGAUUUCCGCAGGCAAAUCCACGGAAAGAGUCGAACUUGACAGUAUGGAACGUCCUUCGGGACAAUCCAAUAGUGCGGGUAAGCAGACUGCCGAGAAAAUCCGCUAAACAUAACUUCAGAGGUACCCGUACCGCAAACGGACACACGUAGUCGGGUUGAAUAUACUAAGGCGCUUGAGUGAAUCACGGUUAAGGAACUAGGCAAACUGACCCUGUAACUUCGGGAUAAAGGGUCCCUACCCAGAAAUGGGAGGGCGCAGAGAAUAGGUCCAGGCAACUGUUUAACAAAAACACAGGGCUGUGCCAAUAUGAAAGUAGACGUAUACAGCCUGACACCUGCCCGGUGCUGGAAGGUUAAGAGGAGAUGUCAUCUUUGGGAGAAGCAUUGAAUUGAAGCCCCAGUAAACGGCGGCCGUAACUAUAACGGUCCUAAGGUAGCGAAAUUCCUUGUCGG